UAAAAAGCGUUAAAGCGUUAAAGCCAAAAAUAUUACUAAAGCUUCAGUGGAAGCAAAACGGCUUUAAAAAGCGUUAAAGCGUUAAAGCCAAAAAUAUUACUAAAGCUUCAGUGGAAGCAAAACGGCUUUAAAAAGCGUUAAAGCGUUAAAGCCAAAAAUAUUACUAAAGCUUCAGUGGAAGCAAAACGGCUUUAAAAAGCGUUAAAGCGUUAAAGCCAAAAAUAUUACUAAAGCUUCAGUGGAAGCAAAACGGCUUUAAAAAGCGUUAAAGCCAAAAAUAUUACUAAAGCUUCAGUGGAAGCAAAACUUUAAUGCCAGCGGGUGCACCCUAUAAAAUGGCUAAAAUGGUUUCUCGGUAUUUCAUGGUUUCAAGGUAUUUCUCAGGCUCAAUCUCAACUGCUGCACCCAGGGAGGGAGCAGGGGAGGAACUGAGUCCUUUUUCCUGUUCUCGGCUUUAUAAAGCUAUAUUUAAAGGUUUAUAUAGGACCACAAUAAUAUUACUAAAGCUUCAGAGGAAGCAAAACUUUAAUGCCAGCGGGUGCACCCUAUAAAAUGGCUAAAAUGGUUUCUCAAGGAUUUUUCAUGGUUUCUCGGUAUUUCAUGGUUUCAAGGUAUUUCUCAGGCUCAAUCUCAACUGCUGCACCCAGAGAGGGAGCAGGGGAGGAACUGAGUCCUUUUUCCUGUUCUCGGCUUUAUAAAGCUAUAUUUAAAGGUUUAUAUAGGACCACAAUAAUAUUACUAAAGCUUCAGAGGAAGCAAAACUUUAAUGCCAGCGGGUGCACCCUAUAAAAUGGCUAAAAUGGUUUCUCAAGGAUUUUUCAUGGUUUCUCGGUAUUUCAUGGUUUCAAGGUAUUUCUCAGGCUCAAUCUCAACUGCUGCACCCAGAGAGGGAGCAGGGGAGGAACUGAGUCCUUUUUCCUGUUCUCAGCUUUAUAAAGCUAUAUUUAAAGGUUUAUAUAGGACCAUCUCGGUAUUUCAUGGUUUCAAGGUAUUUCUCAGGCUCAAUCUCAACUGCUGCACCCAGAGAGGGAGCAGGGGAGGAACUGAGUCAUUUUUCCUGUUCUCGGCUUUAUAAAGCUAUAUUUAAAGGUUUAUAUAGGACCAUCUCGGUAUUUCAUGGUUUCAAGGUAUUUCUCAGGCUCAAUCUCAACUGCUGCACCCAGAGAGGGAGCAGGGGAGGAACUGAGUCCUUUUUCCUGUUCUCGGCUUUAUAAAGCUAUAUUUAAAGGUUUAUAUAGGACCAUCUCGGUAUUUCAUGGUUUCAAGGUAUUUCUCAGGCUCAAUCUCAACUGCUGCACCCAGAGAGGGAGCAGGGGAGGAACUGAGUCCUUUUUCCUGUUCUCGGCUUUAUAAAGCUAUAUUUAAAGGUUUAUAUAGGACCACAAUAAUAUUACUAAAGCUUCAGAGGAAGCAAAACUUUAAUGCCAGCGGGUGCACCCUAUAAAAUGGCUAAAAUGGUUUCUCAGUAUUUCAUGGUUUCAAGGUAUUUCUCAGGCUCAAUCUCAACUGCUGCACCCAGGGAGGGAGCAGGGGAGGAACUGAGUCCUUUUUCCUGUUCUCGGCUUUAUAAAGCUAUAUUCAAAGGUUUUUUUAAAGGGUUUCUCAAAUAUGCUACAGGACAAAAAACAGUGACUUUCAACAUGACCUUCAAACAGCACUUAGCUGUGACUGAAGGCUUUUUGACUGUGUGCUGUGUCCGGUGUGCGGUGUGGCUGUGUGCAAUGUAUUGUUUUGGUGCAGUGCAUUGGGCACAAUGUACUGUUUCUGGAGUUGGUUCAGGCCAUUGGGUGCAAUACAUUUUAUUGGGUGCAAGCCAAAGAAAAUGGAUCCGUCGCAAUGCAACUCCGAACUUGGAAACUUGUGAUCCACAGUCCCCUCCCCCUACCGGUCUGCGCCACCUGAAUGAAAAAGGGUGGCAAAUCUCCCCAAACCCACCUGUGGCUAAAGUGACUGCUGUUUGUUGCUGCUUUGUGACCGAUACACUGGAACUGGAUUGGACCCUAUGGAACUGGAUUGGACCCUAUGGAACUGGAUUGGACCCUAUGGAACUGGAUUGGACUGUACUUAGCGUAGCAUAUCUCUUUUGUAAAAAAGAUCUGUUGUACAGAUCUGUUGUACAUGUAGUUUGUUGUAUCUGUCCACCCAUUGUAUGACGAGUCAGAACUGAGCUGUGACUCAAGUGACUGGGAUGUUUGCUGCUGCUGCUGCUUUUGUUUUUUCUAAUCUAUUCCAGAAGAGAUACGUACUUCUGGAAUAGCCCCCCCUGGUCAGUGGCCACCAUGACACAAAAGAACCUAUGGUGGUGAGUAUCCCAAUAUCAUCCUGUGGCUUGAGUAACUGGUGUUUGUUGCCGCUUUGUGGGGGGGGUUUCUUUCUACUCCAAUUUCAGAAGAGAUACGUACUUCUGGAAUAGCCCUCCUGGUCAGUGGCCACCAUGACAAAAAGAACCUAUGGUGAAACCAGCAGCGAAACACAUGGACUGGAUUUCACUGACUGGACUGGAUGUGAUUUACCUGUUUUUAGUGCGGCCAGCUGGGGGCGCCACAGCCACUUCACCCCAUCAGCGUGGAUGAAGAAGUUUGAAGAAUUAUUUUUGUAUAAAUUAAUAGAAAAUGGCUCUCACACUUAAGUGCUGCAUUGGGAGUUGUUCCGUCUUUUGGAUUUGUGAACAAUAAGUUAACUGUUCAUUUCUAUUUAUUUUUUGGAAUAUUUUCUGGUUUCUUUUCUCCGUAGAAAAAAGAAGUCAUUACAACAGAAUCAUUUGAGAACGUCAUUUCCAGGUUUGACAA